rnacentral:rRNA from 1 species
UACGUAGGCAGCGAGCGUUGUUCGGAGUUACUGGGCGUAAAGCGUGCGUAGGCGGUGUCUUAAGUUUGUUGUGAAAUCUCCCGGCUUAACCGGGAGGGUGCGGCGAAUACUGAGAUGCUGGAGUGCCGGAGAGGUAAGCGGAAUUCCUGGUGUAGCGGUGAAAUGCGUAGAUAUCAGGAGGAACACCUGCGGUGUAGACGGCUUACGUGGACGGUAACUGACGCUGAGGCACGAAAGCGUGGGUAGCAAACAGG